rnacentral:tRNA from 1 species
GCCAGCAUAGCUCAGUGGUAGAGCAGCUCAUUCGUAAUGAGCAGGUCCUCGGUUCAAGCCCGAGUGCUGGCUCCA